rnacentral:rRNA from 1 species
AUUGACCGCUGGCGGCAUUCCUAACACAUGCAAGUCGAGCGAGCGGCGGACGGGUGAGUAAUGUCGGGGAAACUGCCUGAUGGAGGGGGAUAACUACUGGAAACGGUAGCUAAUACCGCAUACCAUCAGAUGUGCCCAGAGGGGAUUAGCUAGUAGGUGGGGUCCUGGCUCACCUAGGCGACGCUCCCUAGCUGGUCUGAGAGGAUGACCAGCCACACUGGAACUGAGACACGGUACAGACGCCUACGGGAGGCAGCAGUGGGGAAUAUUGCACAAUGGGCGCAAGCCUGAUGCAGCCAUGCCGCGUGUGUGAAGAAGGCCUUCGGGUUGUAAAGCACUUUCAGCGAGGAGGCGUUACUCGCAGAAGAAGCACCGGCUAACUCCGUGCCAGAAGCCGCGGUAAUAC